rnacentral:rRNA from 1 species
UACGGGGGGGGCAAGCGUUGUUCGGAAUUACUGGGCGUAAAGGGCUCGUAGGUGGCCAACUAAGUCAGACGUGAAAUCCCUCGGCUUAACCUGGGAAUUGCGCUUGAAACUAGGUUGCUAGAGUGUGGCAGAGGGGGGUGGAAUUCCACGUGUAGCAGUGAAAUGCGUAGAGAUGUGGAGGAACACCGAUGGCGAAGGCAGCCCCCUGGGUCAACACUGACGCUCAUGCACGAAAGCGUGGGGAGCAAACAGG